rnacentral:rRNA from 1 species
UACGAAGGGGGCUAGCGUUGCUCGGAAUCACUGGGCGUAAAGGGUGCGUAGGCGGGUCUUUAAGUCAGGGGUGAAAUCCUGGAGCUCAACUCCAGAACUGCCUUUGAUACUGAGGAUCUUGAGUUCGGGAGAGGUGAGUGGAACUGCGAGUGUAGAGGUGAAAUUCGUAGAUAUUCGCAAGAACACCAGUGGCGAAGGUGGCUCACUGGCCCGAGUACUGACGCUGAGGCACGAAAGCGUGGGGAGCAAACAGGAUAGAA